rnacentral:rRNA from 1 species
GACGAACGCUGGCGGCGUGCCUAAUACAUGCAAGUCGAGCGGACUGACUGGGAGCUUGCUCUUGUUCGGUCAGCGGCGGACGGGUGAGUAACACGUGGGCAACCUGCCCGCAAGACCGGGAUAACUCCGGGAAACCGGAGCUAAUACCGGAUAACACCGAAGACCGCAUGGUCUUUGGUUGAAAGGCGGCGCAAGCUGCCACUUGCGGAUGGGCCCGCGGCGCAUUAGCUAGUUGGUGAGGUAACGGCUCACCAAGGCGACGAUGCGUAGCCGGCCUGAGAGGGUGACAGGCCACACUGGGACUGAGACACGGCCCAGACUCCUACGGGAGGCAGCAGUAGGGAAUCUUCCGCAAUGGGCGAAAGCCUGACGGAGCGACGCCGCGUGAGCGAAGAAGGCCUUCGGGUCGUAAAGCUCUGUUGUGAGGGACGAAGGAGCGCCGUUUGAAGAAGGCGGCGCGGUGACGGUACCUCACGAGGAAGCCCCGGCUAACUACGUG